rnacentral:tRNA from 1 species
GGGUCGAUGCCUGAGUGGUUAAUAGGGAUGGAUUGUAAAUCCAUUGGCUUUGCCUACGCUGGUUCAAAUCCAGCUCGGCCCA